rnacentral:snoRNA from 1 species
AAUCCGUAGUGUGGGCAUUUCUAAAUUAACAUUUUAAAACAGUCCCAAGCCCCAUGAAAACAUUAUCCUUCCAUUUGUCUAAAGUUAGAAAUUUCUCUUCUUAUU